GGAUAACCUGCCCUUGGGUCCGGCAUAACUCCGGGAAACUGGAGAUAAUUCCGGAUAACGCAUAUAUGCUGGAAUGCUUUAUGCGUAAAAUGGAUUCGUCUGCCCAAGGAUGGGUCUGCGGCCUAUCAGGUAGUAGUGGGUGUAAUGUACCUACUAGCCUACGACGGGUACGGGUUGUGAGAGCAAGAGCCCGGAGAUGGAUUCUGAGACAUGAAUCCAGGCCCUACGGGGCGCAGCAGGCGCGAAAACUUUACAAUGCGGGAAACCGUGAUAAGGGGACACCGAGUGCCAGCAUCAUAUGCUGGCUGUCCAGGUGUGUAAAAUACACCUGUUAGCAAGGGCCGGGCAAGACCGGUGCCAGCCGCCGCGGUAACACCGGCGGCCCGAGUGGUGAUCGUGAUUAUUGGGUCUAAAGGGUCCGUAGCCGGUUUGGUCAGUCCUCCGGGAAAUCUGAUAGCUCAACUAUUAGGCUUUCGGGGGAUACUGCCAGACUUGGAACCGGGAGAGGUAAGAGGUACUACAGGGGUAGGAGUGAAAUCUUGUAAUCCCUGUGGGACCACCUGUGGCGAAGGCGUCUUACCAGAACGGGUUCGACGGUGAGGGACGAAAGCUGGGGGCACGAACCGGAUUAGAUACCCGGGUAGUCCCAGCCGUAAACGAUGCUCGCUAGGUGUCAGGCAUGGCGCGACCGUGUCUGGUGCCGCAGGGAAGCCGUGAAGCGAGCCACCUGGGAAGUACGGCCGCAAGGCUGAAACUUAA
rnacentral:rRNA from 1 species